AGGAAGCAUGGCUGGGCACCAACAUUGCUUACAUAUGUCACUUUGGUGAGCCUACCUCAGAAUGGAGGUCUAGGGAUUAUAUGGUAGUGUGUGUGUGUGUGUGUGUGUGUGUGUGUGAGAGAGAGAGAGAGAGAGAGAGACAGAGAGAGAGACAGAGAGAGACAGAGAGAGACAGAGAGAGACAGAGAGAGAGAGACAGAGAGAGACAGAGAGAGACAGAGAGAGACAGAGACAGAGACAGGCAGAGAGAGAGAGAGAAACAGAGAGACAGAAUCAGACAGGCAGACAGACAGAGACAGACAAAGACAGACAGUGGCAGACAGGCAAAAACAGAGAGACUGGGGCAGAGAGACACAGAGAUAGAGAGACACAGAGGCCGAGAGAGAAAUAGAAGAAAGUAAGGCAAAGGUAAGCUGGGUAAUACCCUUGUUAAAUAUGCAUAGGUAUUAGAGAGGGAAGCAUGUUGUUAUAGGAUCAUGUAUUCUAACCAUCAAACAGCUAUUGAUCAUUUAGAAAUUGUUAGCGUUCUAUCUGCCCAUGCUUUGAUGGCUUCUUUGCAAUGAACAGUUUGUCCUUCCAGCUAAUGCCAGGUAACAUUCCUCUUUUUAGUUUACAACAUGCUUGUGUUAACUGUGAUGAUCCUAGCUUGCAAUUCCCCAAGCAUCAAGUCUUAUUGAAACAAAGGUAAAACAGACUUCAAGAUCAGAAUGGGAGGCCGUGAGAUGUGCUGAGCUCACAUUUGCCUGGGUUUAUUGGUGCAAUUGAUUUGGAAACAAGGCUCUCAACUCCCUCCCCCAUAUUUGUUUGUUUCUUGUCAGCUUCACACAUGUAUAAUAACUAAUGGUCAAGAGAUCCUGCCUGACACUAGGGCCUUUGCGGGAGCUGCAGAGAAGCAUUCUGGGUAUACAAACAACCACUCUGACGUCAUGUGAAGACUGACAAUGAGACACUUAACGUAUAGGAGAAAAACGGAAGCCUGAAGUUGGAUAAUUUGUCUGAAGAUGUUGGUGGAUUCCAAGAGAUAAAAAGAUUGAAUGACGAAGCUGAGGAAAGCAGGUUUAAUGGAAGGCUAACAAAGCCGAGGUGAAUGAUAGGAGGCUAGAAACAAGGGAGUGCAUGGCCACGAGUGAUGUCCUCUGAACGCCUCAGCAUUCAGACCAACCGUGUUUAGCUGGUUCUCAGAUACACAAGAUCCUGAACAGGCACGAUGUUUGGUUUCUCCCAUUCCCUUCCUUCUGUAUUAGUCCUCCAGAUACAAAAACUAAAACUAAGACUAACUUCAGUGAUAAAGGGAAUUUUCUGGCUCAAGUCAUCAAGAAGCCUAAGAAGUUAACUGACUUGGGGCUUGGCCAGAUCCAGAUGUUCAAAGUGUAACAGAAAACUGUCCCUCUGGGUUGCAUAAACUCCCAAUUUUAUUUGUUUGACAAGAGGGUUUUGUUUUGUUUUUUGUUUCCAUCUGACAUCAUGGAUGAUCACUGGUUAUCCCCAGGUUGUGACACUCCUAAAGAAAUAGAGAAACAGAGAACUGUCUUUCUUCAGCGACUGUUCUACUUACCAGAUCCUGAAGAAGAUUCUGCUGGGCUGCAUGUCCAUCGUUCUGGUUCCAGGGGAAUGACCUGUCCAGUUGAUCAAUUGGAGACAUGUGCUCAGGCUAUGGAGUAUAGCCUGAAGCCAUUUUUCAACUGGAAGACUGACAAACAGCUCUCUUACUAGAACAGUUUUCUAAACUCUUCAACUC
rnacentral:lncRNA from 1 species